CAGUGAAAUCUUUCAUGGAGAUCUCUGAAUCCUGAAUUUGUUUGUGUGCUGGACAGAACCCAUCUCUAGCACCAUUUAAAUUCAGCAUUUCUGAGGUCGCAAAACUUCAGCGCUGAGC
rnacentral:pre_miRNA from 9 species